GCACUCCGUGGAGGCGCUGCAGAGGUGGCUGCUGUGUCACAGGUGCGUCAGGAGGUGGCCGAGAGGAGCGAGGCUGUGUCAAAGCUCAGUGUUCUGACCUGUGAGCAUCUGGAUGAUUAGUAGCCUGACACU